rnacentral:lncRNA from 1 species
CCUGGACCUGGCCACUCUUCUCUGGCGGAAGCAGGUUCCGUGCGGGCCCUACAGCAGCAUCCAAGCCCCUGUCCUCUCGGCACCUGAGUUCUUGUUUGGCAUCCAGGAAGAAUUAGGUCACCCACACGGAUUGAAAGGCCCCCAGAUGAGACAGGAUUGUUCCCUUCAUCUUAACCCCCUUCGUGGGCGGGAACUGGAGCAGCUCAUUUCACUCAGCUCGCCUCCUGCCACUCCUGGCGGCAGAGCGUGCGAGUGCGGGAACCGGAGCGACCGAAUGCUGGAACCGGCCGGUCACUCCUCUCUGGCGGGAAUAGGCUCUGUGCGGGCCUCACAGCAGCGUCCAAGCCCUGGCCUCUCGGCACCGGGGUACCUGUCCGGCGUCCAGGAAGAAUUAGGUCAUAUGAACGGAUUGAAGAGUAGUGUAUGCGGAAGAUUUGAUUGAGUGGUGGCUCCUGGUGGGAUGGGUACUGGAAAGCAGACGGUGAAAGAGGGUCAUCUUUCCCUGAAGCCGCACCAUCUGAAGUUAGCUGCGUCUAUCUGUAGUCUUCAACACUCUUGCUGCUUCUCUGCUCACCGCUCAGCCGCUUGUGUUGCUCUGCCAGCUGAAGUCUUUUUUAUGGCCACAGGAUAGGGGCGUGGCAGGCCAAAAAAACAACAUUUGGGCAGAAAAACAGGGUCAGCUGUUUUCAAGGCCGUGAUUCCAGGCUUAAGGGUGGGGUUUAGCUGGGAACCCAGCCAUUCUGUAUCAGUGAUAGUUGCACAACUAUAAAUAUACUAACAACCAUUGAAUUGUGUACUUUAAGUAGAUUAACCGUAUGAUAUAUGAAUUACAUCUCAGUAAAGUUGUUUUUUAAAAAAUAUGCAUAUACCUUAGUCUAGCCGUUCCAGGUCAUAUACUACAGCGAUAGUAACAAAGAUAUAAUAUGUGGUUUAUAAUAAUAAAUAUUGGAAAUACUUAAUCUUGCAAAUGCAUGAUCAGUAAGGUAGUGGAGGCAAAAACUAGGUUUCCCAGGAGCUUCAGGCUUCUCAACUUCCAAGUAGUAAUCUCAAGGAAGUACGUACUCUGACUGAAACUGUUUAUGUCACAGACCUACUCCUUAGACCAAUCACUGUUCCCAUAGAGAUAGCUCAUUAUGAUUUGUGGAGUCAGAAUCAUGUGCCCACUGCUGAAAUCAGGAAUUCAGGGUCCUGGGAGAGUCACCCGUGCCACCCACCUAAUGUUUUCUGGAAGUUUGACUUUAAAAGGAAGAAGACAGCAAGAGAUCAAUAUAGCUAGAGUGUGGAGAUGAGGUGUUUUCUUUAAAAUAGAGGUGACUUGAACACGUUUAAAUGCUUGUGCAAAGUAGCCAAUAUAGAGGGAGCAGUUAAAGACACAAAAGAAAUAGAAUAUUUCUAAUCAAUAGAUCUCAGGAAAUUAUUAUUUCCCACUAUCCCUCAGAAAAUUAUAUUCAAUAAAGGAAUUUGUUUCUGGCUCCUUGGAGGAUUAACUUUCCUUUUCAUGCUUAGGCAAUACAAAGUUGAAUCACCACUUUAAACCACA